rnacentral:tRNA from 1 species
AAGGUGGCUCAGUGGUAGAGUGCUUGCCUCAUAUGCAUGAGGCCCUGGGUUCGAUUCCUCAGCACCUUA